AAAACUUCACGUCUGUUUCCUUAUAUACUGUUUUAAAAGACAGAAGGGAAUAGAUUAAAGCUUAGUCCAAUUCAAUUAAAAAUCCUUUUGUUCAAGGUUAAUAAAAUACUGACUUCUUGCACAAGCAAGAAGCUCCUUUGCAUAAAUAUUGGGGAAAAAAAGGAGCUAUAACUAAAUGGGGUAUAUUCUCUGAAGCAGGUACUCGACCUUUAACAGUACAUACUGUGAACAAAGCGACCUGUUUCCUGCUCACCAAUAGUAUUUGGCAACUCAGUGACUGAAUUUUCAGUGAAACAGUAAGCUUUUACAUUUUUAAGACGAUUUUCCUCAGCCAAAAUUGGGAAAAUUACAUUUGAUAUACCUAACGCGUAUGACAUCACACUCCUUCCUGUUGAAUAUAUGGCUUUUCAAGCCCUAUUCCCACCUGAUUAAUAUACACAGAUCUAUAUGGAAGUGUCCCUGCAGCUAAAUAACAUGAGCUUGAGAUGAUACACUUUUUUUCCAAUAUGUAAAGCUUGAACUAGUGCAGGGAAAAGAUGGUUUAUGACCAAGAAAGAGCAAUGAGGGCAUUCCUUGGUACUUGACACUGAAUGUUGGUACAGGUGUCUUUCACUGAGUAAGUCUAUUGCAGUAAUUUCUGGGCCAUUGUCUGCACACAUCAGAGGUCCAUGGGCUACCUGAAGAGGAUCCACAAAAGGUAACUGGAAAUAAAAGGCAUUAUCUGUAAACAAGGAUCCUAGAACCAAAAACAGGUUAAAGAACGGUGCUACAUAUUAUUAAGAUGCCUCCAAAAGGACAAAAACACAUCACGGAGAAAAAACAUUUGUACUAGGGAAUGAGCAGUCAGACAAAGAGAAAGAGAGGAAAGCUUUUAAUGGACUUUGCCUCUACUCCAUCAUCCCAAAUGUUAAUUCCUGGUGAUCCAGAAUACGCAACAUGGGUCUUACUAUCCAGAAAUACCACAAAAAAAUUUUGAGAAAUCUUAAUGAAAGCUAGUUAUGCAAACAUUUCCAAACAGCUGUUCUUUUACACCAACUGACAGAGGCAAUUUCUAGCUCAGUUACAAUUUUAAGGAAAUCUUUGGGCUUACGCUGUCUCCCCACUGAGAUGCUACGUGCAAAGGAUACUCCGGUUAUUGCUUAUUCCUGGCAGGUGCCUCUCACAGACUGAAAUCCUCCCUUGCAGCUCCCAGGGAGGCUUUAGGAGGCCAACAGUGCAGCUCUCCGUCUCCUGCAGCGCUCUUGAUUUCUGUGUUUAUGAAUCUGAAAGCUGCAAGAGGAAUGCAAAAUGCUAUUUUUUUCCCCCAAAUCCUUUGGUGAUCUCACAGAUCUGUGAGAACAGCUGAGAACAUUGUGGGCUGCAGCGCAGGGGAGCAGCGGCUUCCUGAAGAUACUGCAAAGUCUGGUCCAGGCAGCGAGGCUGCCGUGAUGCUUCUGCAGCUGUCUGACUGGGAUCCAGAUCUUAAAAGCCCCAUCUCGGCUGUUGCCUUCCCUGAACAGGAGACUAAUUUGCUAACAAACAGCUUUGCUCUUACGUGCUCGUUUUCUUCUGGGACUCCAUCCAGAGCUCAGGCUACGUGGCUGUAAUUCGUAGCCUCGAGACUUUAAAGUUUUUUGCGGAGGAGGACAAACAAGGCUGAAAGGUGCCUUCCUCCACGCUCAGUGCCUUUGCAGGAGGCGAGUCCUUGAGGUGAUCAUUGCCAAGCCGCUAUAUGUAAUGACGUAGUGCCCUCUGUUGGGAAGCUCUUCUGACGCUGAAUCCAGGUUAGACGGACCUUUACUUUCCAAAGGCUGAGAAGCAGCAUGGCAGUCCAUCCUUUACGGAGGGAGCGUGGCGACGUCUGCGUAACUUCUUACAGCUUCCGGUGAGUUACUGAUGGCAAAUCAUCCUGGUCCCUUCACUAGUUCAAACGUUCAUCUUUGGGAAAAGCGAGUGUCAGAAGGCUGGUUGUGAAGCCGUGGGACCAUUUAUCGGCUGCGCUGACACUUGGCCUUUGCUGGAGUCUCUGCCUCUGAGACGGCAGAGGCCUUUGUCAUCUUCAUGAGUUUUCUAGGAAAGCCAUGAAGUGAAACACGUGGUCCAUCACAUAUGCUCCAUCUGACUUGUUUUCAUUUGAGUCACUCCUUCACCCGAGAUGCGUGCACUGCAAUACCGUACUCCAAACCAAGAGACAAAUGCUUUAAUCCGGAGCGCAUGGUGAACCGCCUCAAACGGAAGCUAACAUUCAGGUUUAGAAACCAGGCAAAGUAUUGCUAAAGGAAGAAGGAAAGUCAUUUCAGUUUCUGCUUUAGGCUGAGGCCUUACCUUAAUUUUGGCUCUUAUUAUGCUUGAUUUUUAAUUAAACUUGUAGGUAGGUCAUGUUAUUGAAAAACCAGUAUUAAAUUAAGCUUCCUGUAUUUGUAAGACAUUUAUCCUAAACCGUGUUUUUCCCUGGAAAAUUACCAGCGCAGCAAUCCCUCCCAUCGCUCUCUUUCUCUUUUCCAUGCCCCUGGGAUCCCCCGUCCUGCCGCAGCUCUGGCUGCUCUCCCCCACUGUCUCCUUAGCCGAGCUUGUGCGAGAGGAGAAACUUGCUCCUCCUGCUUCCGAUGGUCUUCCUUGCCGGGGAGACCUGGAUUCUGCCGUCUGGGUCUGCUGCCUGCUUUGCAGCUGGGACAGGAGGCUGCAGGGGACAGACGUCCAGCCACAGGACUUCCCCUAAUUAAGUCCCCACUUCUAGGUGCUGGAGGAGGUACUGGCUCUCUGGUUUUAACCCACUGCUCUAAACACAAAGAGAAAAUGCUUUUCCCACAGAAGUCAAGAUAAUUCCCCAUAAACACAGGAGGAAAGCAGCCGUGACUCCCCGUCCCUUCCCUUGUGCUGUCUAUUGGAGCACGCAACUGGGGAAGGAGGAAAGGAGAUAGAAGCGAGCAUCCCAGCAGCAAAAGGCUCAGGGAAGAAGACAAUGAAAACCAAAAUCUAUCCAUGUGUCAUCAAACCGCUUGUGACAAGAAAACCAACUUCAAGCUCAGGGCAAGAGCACAUGAGACAAAGCCAAGCUGCCACAACUCGAUAGCCGCUCCUGGCUGGUGUCCAAACUACUAAGACGGCAAACUUUGAUCUCUGCAGGACUUGACAUCUGAGCACACAGGCUGGCAAAACUACCGGCAGUGGAUUGAAUCAGGAACUGAUCCGGCUAAAAAUAACCGAGGGUGGAGUGGGGAACUAUUACUCUUCAGUCACUGAAACUUUCCAAUCUGCGUCAUGAUGCAGUUGCACACAGAGCUGCCUGCACCAGCACAGUGAGCAGAGCACGGGAGUAAACGACCACGAGGACACACAGAGGAGGGGAUGAGGAUCACUCGUUUUGCUUUUGAAAGAAAUGCAGGUGCACCACAGCUUCAGUGGGCUGAGUACUCAAAGGUACUUAGCAAGAGAUGAGCACCAUUUCCAGCUGUGUAAUGUACACAUGGGAAGUAAAAGAUUCAUAAGCUGGUCCUCCUUCGGAAAUACUUCUUAUGUGCAAAAAAAAAGGAAUGCCCCUGCUGGGAAUUGGCUGGCUUGAGCCCCGAUAGCAAUGAAGGUGAAGCAUCAAGAGCUUCAGAGCCUGAGGAAUUUCAGGAUCUUCUCAGGUUACAUUUCUUGAGAAAGCAAUUCACCCUUUCUUCAUAUGCAUUAAUGGCUCCAUACACAUUGAGGUGGAAGGUGCAGUUGAAACCCACAGUUACAUGAGCAUUAGCAGCUACAUUGCAUAUUAGCCAAAUGAAAGCAAGUGCCUGAGGCUUAGGGCAGGAUGUGGCUGCCCUAAGGCAAACUCUAAAUGCUUUCACACCAACCUCUGCGCUCAGGCCUGAGACGUAACGUCACUGUCGACCAUGCCAGGUAACUCCUUAGAUUUCAAGGGUCCAGAAGUACCGUCAUAUUUUGCCAAAUUCUUUCGCCUUUCUAAGAAUGUGAGGACUUGUGUUCAGUGAUUUUAAUUCUUCUCUCUCUAGACACAAGGAAAAAUGUUUUGUUCCACCUCCCUGCCCCCUGCAUCCCCUUUGCCGCUUCCCUUCUUGUGAUAAUUGUUAAAAGGUAUCUUUUUUUUUUUUUUUUUUUUUUUUAAAUAAAGCAGCUUGUGGUUCCUGUUUGACCCUAGGUUCAAAAAGGUUUAUCAUUUGUCCAAUGAAUUGGGAAGAUAUCUGCAAUCUCUCUAAUGCAUACUACAUGUAAACUCUGUUUUUCCUGUUUUGCUUGGUAUUUCUGCCUGCCUGAAGGCAUAGAGAGAAUUCAAAGGUCAGCUGUGAAAGGAAUCAGGCAAGAAGAGAGAGCAGUUGCCCUGCAAAGAGGCAUCUUCUUAAGCACAACAGGCAGGUGCAGAGCUGUGGGAAGCAACUUCUCAGUCCCUAUCCUAGAAAAGAAGAUCUUCUGGCUCUCGCAUCUGUUCACGUGAACGAGUGUACCAAACAGGCCAGGCCUGUGAGAAGAAAACCAAGCACUUGUCGAAGUCCAUCAGGACCGCAAAAGCAAUGUUACCAGGUGGAUUCAUGCAUUUUCUACGAAGAAAGCCAGCAAGCACUUGAAUAAGAACAGGGAAGGGACAGUUGAGAGGUGAAUCAGCUGACUUACAAGACAUAUCAGGUCUGGCACGGAAAGGCUAAAGACCCUUCAGAGUUUGGGACACAAGAGCAAAAGUGGCAAAGCAGCCUACCCCAGCAAUGCCUCUUUUGGCCUCUGUUUGCUCCAUCUCCUUGAAAUAUCCUGUAUUUUCCUUUUUUUCAGAGAUGGGGGCUCCUGUUGUUGUGUCUCUGGCUAUUCAGACCAGUGUUGUUGGGGUAAAGGGGAAACCGGGCCACAAAGAACAGUUUGCUGUGCAUGCAAGGGCAGUUUUGUUUGUUUGAUGUAUCUCAAAAAUUGCUUUAGAGAUUACACAUAAAAUACUUUUGAAAAUUUAUUAAACACGUAAAACACA